rnacentral:rRNA from 1 species
GACGAACGCUGGCGGCGUGCUUAACACAUGCAAGUCGAACGGUGAAGGGGUCUGCUUUUGUGGGCCCUGGAUGAGUGGCGAACGGGUGAGUAACACGUGAGUAACCUGCCCCCUUCUUCUGGAUAACCGCAUGAAAGUGUGGCUAAUACGGGAUAUUCUGGGUCUGUCGCAUGAUGGGUCUGGGAAAGAUUGCGCCUUUGGGUGUUUUUGGUGGGGGAUGGGCUCGCGGCCUAUCAGCUUGUUGGUGGGGUGAUGGCCUACCAAGGCGGUGACGGGUAGCCGGCCUGAGAGGGUGGACGGUCACACUGGGACUGAGACACGGCCCAGACUCCUACGGGAGGCAGCAGUGGGGAAGAUUGCACAAUGGGCGCAAGCCUGAUGCAGCGACGCCGCGUGAGGGAGGGAGGCCUUCGGGUUGUAAACCUCUUUCGCCAGUGAAGCAGGCCUGCUCCUUGUGGGUGGGUUGACGGUAGCUGGAGAAGAAGCGCCGGCUAACUACGUG